CCUACGGGAGGCAGCAGGGAGGAAUAUUGGUCAAUGGACGCAAGUCUGAACCAGCCAGGCCGCGGGCAGGAAGAAGGUGCUAUGCAGUGUAAACUGCUUUUAUACGGGGGUAAGUACAGAUACGUGUAGCUGGAUGAAAGUACCGUAUGAAUAAGGAUCGGCUAACUCCGUGCGAGCAGCCGCGGUAAUCCGGAGGAUCCGAGCGUUAUCCGGAUUUAUUGGGUUUAAAGGGUGCGUAGGCGGUCAGGUAAGUUAGAGGUGAAAGCUCGAUGCUCAACAUCGACACUGCCUCUGAUACUGUCUGACUAGAGUGUAGUUGCGGAAGGCGGAAUGUGUGGUGUAGCGGUGAAAUGCUUAGAGAUCACACAGAACACCGAUUGCGAAGGCAGCUUUCCCAGCUAUUCCUGACGCUGAGGCACGAAAGCGUGGGGAGCGAACAGGAUUAGAUACCCCAGUAGUC
rnacentral:rRNA from 1 species